UCUGCGAAACGAAGCCAAAACAGGGAGGAGGUGGACACAGCGAGAGAAGACGUGUACACACACACACACACAGAGACGGCCCCUGAGCUCUCUUCUCUCGCCUCUCCCUAUCUCUGCAGCCCCGUCGUGCACCGCCGCACCACCACCAACACGACCACCACCACUACCGCCGCCCUCCUCUCGUAGCGCCCCCACGCGCACGCACACGCACAUACACGCGCACAGAAAGAGAGGGAUAAGGUGUGCACUGUGCACCAAAGCCGCGCGAAGGGUGUACGCGCCUUUUUUUUUGUUUCUUUCGCGAGUCUGGGAGAGCGGGAAGCCAAAACAAAGAGGCUCUGCUGUGUUCGAGGCACAAAAUCGAGGGUGCGACGGUCCUGGCAGUCUUCGUUGCCGCGCACACCCGCGCUCUCCCUCUCCCUCUCUGUCUCCACUCAUUUGAAUCAUAGACAAACCCGCACUGUGCGCCACAGCAUUCUGCGUGCACAUCACACGCGCGCACAUCGGCGCAUAGAUUACGACAAUCAUUAGCCAUCAUCAUUACUUCGCUCCUCGUGCGCGUCUGUGUAUGUGCGCGCACGCCUGAGGCGCAUCGAGGCCUUUUUUCAUUGCAUUCUCUGCUGCUGAGAACAGUGUCACUCUCUCUCUCUUUUUCAGGCACGCGCGAGGCGGCGGUCAGCGGCGUCGACCAGCGCCACCCCUCUCACUGUUUCGCUUUGGUGCUCAUCUCAAGCGUAGAGGAGGGGAAGGGGGAGAGGGGAGAGACGUACCCCCAUAGAAGCUGUAUUCCUUCUGCGUUCAUUCGUGUGUUGCUCGCUUUUCCUUCGCCCUCUCUCUUUCUCUGCCACGCCGCGCGUCUCUGAGCUGGAGCGAACGCGGUCUUUGUGUUAACGUGAGUGAACCAGGAUAGACGCAUGCUUCGUCUUGUCGGUUGUCGCCUAGGCGGCCGUGUAAGGCGACGCUCGAAGAGCGUCGUCAUUGACGCCGCCGUUAACGCCGUCCUGGCGGAGCUGAGGGCCAAGGCAACGAAAGCGAAAAAGCCGAAGCGGGCAGCCGCAUCAAAGCCUCCAGCUGCGGUGAAAGCACCUGCGAAGCGCGCUGGGCAACUCGAGCUACCACCUGCGGGCGCCCCACCACCUCCCGCGACCACGGCAGCGCCUGCCAAAGCAAAGACACGAAAUGCCGGCAAGAAUCUCGUUGACACUGUCCUCUCAGGUGUGAACUGCACGCUGCUAAAGCACGUCCUCUCCUCCUCGUCGUCGUCUUCGACGUCGACCGACAUCCCUGACGUGGGACGGGUGUUGCGCCUAGACUACACCACCAUCGCGAGAAAGCACCAGCUGGCGCACCUCGCGGACAUCCUGCUGGUCAACCGCAUCCACGCCGCCGUGGUCAACGACACGCAUGAGCGCACAGCCGACGGCACAAGCGGUGCGGCAGCUGACGCAUCGUCGCCGCUGGUAGUGCUCGUGGAGACAACCCUCCCUCGCGAGGAUGCCGAAGUGCAGGAGUUCAUCAUCCGCAAUGCCCUGAGCAUGCACCCGCUCCCACCGGAGGUGGCAACCGAAGACGGGCAGUCUGUCCACACCCCACCCUUGACAGUCCUGGUUCUCGGCGACGAGCAGACAAAGCGCGUGCGCACACUGGCGGAGCUGCCGCCCGUGCCGCCUCGCGUGCCGGCGGCAGUCCCUCUGGCCACGGCUCCUGCGACAAACUCCCAUGACAGCGCCCAGGCUGUCAGCGCCGCGCCGGCCUCCGAUCGCUCAGCUGCUGCGGAGGCGGCUCCGUCGACAACAUGCAGCAGCCCCGCUCGGUGCAGCCUCAGUGGAGCGCCGGCGCAGGUCGCCCCGCAGCGCAGAGGGAACCCAAAAGAGGCGAACAGCUCGACGCCGCCGAAGGCCGACGUGGACGAAACGGCAACGGCAGCGAAAGCCGUGUUGCCCUCUGCGUCCUCGCCAGUCGCUGCGGCUGCAUCUGCAGAGCCGGUCCCAACGUUAGCAGCCACGGCUGCAGCCGCGAACACCGCACCGCCGGCAAAGACGGCAGCUUCAGAGGCGAACACAAGGCGGGUGGAGCGAGUGGUGCGCCGUGUGGCACGCGUCUCUCUCAAGGCGCUCGCCGCUCAGAAGAAGAAGCGUAGGCCGGCGACGCCGUCUCAGGCGCGCCUGGUCGCUUCGAUUGCGGCCACUGUUUCGGGAAAGCGUGCCGCCGUAGCGCGACCGCCGCGCCUGCUGUCCGUGGACAGUUCGAAGGAAAAGUUGCUGUGGGCAUCUCAACCUGGCCGACCACUGCCCAUCCGAAUACUAGAGCCGUUGAUCAGCCCGGCUGUGUACGAGGAGAUGCGCACUGCUGCCGCGGCGGAUGUCUCGGCUUCGUCCGCUGCCUCACCGCUCACAAUGCACAUGGUGGUCUACGGUGUCAGCAAGGAGAGCAGUGCCUCGACGGUGUGGCUUGGUGCCCUGCAAGCCGCUGCUGACCUCACCAGCGCCAUGUCCAGCGGUGCUUCACAGCUGCCCGCAGAGGUGGCGGAGCUGGCCGGCCUCGACCCAGCGCGCGUCAGGCGCGUCUCCGAGCGCAAGAGCUCGCGAAAACGGUAUGCCAUGAAGGCAGCGGCGGCCUCCUCGGUCGCCGACGAUGGCGCCGCUGGCACCGCCACCACGGCAGCACCGAUGUCACCAAAACCGUAUGUUUACAUACUCAUCCAUACGCGACUAUCCAGAGAAGACGCCGCUGUCUUACAGCAGGAGCUGCAGUACCAGCUGACGCAGCUCAAGGCGACACCAGCGGGUGCGGAAGUGGCGGGCAUGUCAGUGCUAACGGCGGACGACGUAUCCCCGGCACAUCUGUCCUAUGUGCUGGAGCACUCGAUGGUCGAAGGUGGCGGCAACAGCGUGAAGAUGAGUGCUGUGCGCCGCGGCAGCAAAUCUGGGAUGGUACCAUCCGCGGCCCCGACGCUCUCUGCCGAAGCCGCCGAGGUGAGUAACACCUUUCAAGAGGUGUACCGUCUGCUGUCGGAGCAGCCAUGGCUUCUGAGCCCCCCGUUGCAGUGGGAGACACCAUCCUCCUCUUCUCCGCGACAGCAGCAUCCGGACACGCUCGUCGCUGAUGCGAUCCGUAUCGCAGCCCUCACGCAGGUUUUGGUGCAGCGCAAGGAGGCGCAGCUGCGCGGGCAUUUUGAGGCGGCGCAGCAGUCGAGUGCAAUGAACGCAGACAGCGAAGCCGUCGCCCGGGCAGCGCAGCGCGUUGAGAUGAAAACAAUGGUGACGGAGGCGGUCGAGGAGGUGUCGGUGCGCCAUGAGCAGGCGACUGCCCACCUCGUCAAGACGCUGUCCAGCAUAGUGGGACAGUGGUCACUGGAGAAGCUAUCGGACACGCUGGAGGCGAUCGUACGAGACGAGGUGAAGCCAAUCAUGGAUGUGCUGGGGGAACGCCUCGCCAGCACGCCAGGGCGCAACGCUGAAGCAGCGAACGGCGAGGCCACACCAAUCGCCGCAGCACCGGCACUGAUGGCGACGCCUGCAUCCACAUCCCCGACUGACAGCGCUGACGUCGCGUCCUCUGUGCUCCUUGAGAGGCAAGACGAGAUAAAGAGCACUAUGUCGCAGACCUUGGCGCAGCUACGCGAGCUGAGUGAGCGCUUGUCAGCACUGGCGGCGGCAACAACGGCCGCGGCCGCUGCGAAGACUGAAGGCUUGGUAGACUCCGCAGUGGCCCACCCACCAGAGACCGCAGCCGCUCCACUGAAGAGCGAGGAAGAGGUGCGCCUUCUGAGAGAUCUCCAUGAGUUGCAGGAGCAGCAUCACUCGAAGCUCAGCGAGGAGCUAGAGAGCCUGCGGAGUGACCUUCGCUAUUUCGCAAGCCAAGAACGCGCGGCGGCCGAGGCACAAGCGGCCGCGCCUGCCGCAGCGUACGCGGCCACCCUCUCAAGAGAGUCGCUGGAUAGGGCCGUCGCCGACACUGUGCACGAGAUCACGCAUGCGAUCCGGCGAGACAUUCACGCGAGCGUUGUGGAGCAGCUGGACGCCUACUGCGACGUUCAUCGCAGCGCCCAAAACAGCGCACGCGAGGACAGGCGUGAUGAGGAGCCGUCGACGCCGGUGCUGCCCGUCACGUCGUUCGAGUUGGAGGAGAUGCUGACCCGCGUCGUCGACCACACCGUGCGGACGUCGACGGACAAGAUAGAGGACCAUGUGCGGGCAGCCAUGGAAAAUGUGUACCGAAACGAGCGGGCGGCCGAUCCCGCCUCCGUGACUGCGGCUGCAUCCACGACCAGUGCGGCAGAGUCGGACGAAGCGCUGAAGGCUGCGCUCGAGGGCCUGUGGGCCCAGGUACGUGCGGAGGCGGCCGAGGAGGAGGCAGUGAAGGUGUCGCAGCACAAUCGCCAGCUACUGCGCCUCUUGCGUCGCCAGCAGCACCUGCAGCGCAGCGUGCCUGGCCGUCAGCCAGCGUCUGCACCGGCGUCGGCCUCAUCGCCAGCGUCCCCCUUGUCAUAUGUGGCGCUUGAGGAAGCCAUGCGCGUGGUCCUGCAUCCGUACAUGGCGCAGAUGCAGGCCACAGUAGCUGCAGCCGCAGCCGCAGCCGCAGCCGGCUCCCCUCGCACCUCUGUGGAGACGUCGUCGUCGAUUACAUCGGCUGGCGAUGGCGUCGAGCAGGACCAUGUGGCACGUCCCACAAGCAGGAAGUGAAGAAGAGGAGGGCGAGGAGGAUGCCGUAGCCUUCGCAGUGCCGUUGCGCAUAGAAAGGCAUAAAGGGCAUAGAGAAGCGCGCGCGCGCAUUCAAUUGGAUCUCGUUGUUUUAGAGAGAGCAAGACAUUUUGGGAGCUCAGGAGAGGGCUCUCUUGCGACGUGAAGGUCGUCCAGCUCCGUGUAUGGCUGUGGGGUGUGUGGGGGUCGGUGGAGACGAGAAAGGAGCAGCGAUGGACUAGCGAAGAAGGGGCGGUAGGAGAACACACCCGCGCGGUGGCAGACGAUGUUAGCGUUCUUUUCUCAGCUCGUCGCUUGCACGCGUCUGAGUCUGUGGGCGCGUGCACUUGUAGGCGUCAAUUCUUUUCAUGUGGCCGGCACUGCCACUGUCCCGUCCUCUCUCGCCCAACCAACCAACGAAUACCGCCCCGGUGCGUGCUUAGCUCCAGAAAGCAUACGCUUCUUCUUCCUUGAUCCUUCGCGAUUGUUGCCCACCCACCCACACUCCUGCCAACUGUCACGGACGUACAAACCUGCAUGCACACCCUUCUGGAGGGCGUCUAUUGUUGUCCCCGCCCCCUUCCAAAUCCCCUCCCUCUCCACUCCACCAUGGCAAUACGCGGCGGUGUUGGAAAGCGGCGCCACACACGCGUGCAAGAUCGUGCCUUGGGGAACGUACGCAAGCAUGGAUCGAUUUGACGAACGAUGGGGCCCCCACGUCUACGGGAGUGGUGCGUGACGGUGUGCGGCGUGGCGUGCGGGUGCGAUCUUUUCGUCGAGGGGGAUGUCUGGGCAUGUUCUUUGUUUUCGUUUUUGGAUUUCUCGCGCGUUGCAUUGCGGGAGGGGAGGGCGUUGUGUUGUUGGCGUCUGCUGGAGGAGGCGUCUCGUCGUUGUCGUCUCUCUUUUGUUGCCAUGAUUUGUGUGUGUGUGUGUGUGUGUGUGGGUGGGUGGGUGGGUGGGUGUGCGUGUCGGCCUGUGUACUUGUAUCUUUUUUCGGCUGCGAUACCGUCUGCGGUGGUUGUCCGUGCGUGCCCGGUGUCGAGGAGGAGGGGGGAGAGAGGGACGGGAAGUGGAGAUCGGCUACCGGCGCAGGUGCCGUGUGCGAGAGCUGGGUUACCUCCUGUGUGAGCGUGCAGGACAUGCGCACAAGGCACACCUCUUCCUUGUCUUCAUGCCCUGUCUCUCUUUCUCUGCCACCCCACCCGCACUCGAGAGGGCGGUCUUGCUUCCGCGAUCCAUGUCUUCGGUCUUUGCGCGCCUGCACGGGUGUGUCCGAUCCCCUCUUCUUCACAGCCUUGGCCCGCUGCAUUGCAGACGCCUCGCUCCUGGUCUCCUGUGUCGUGCUUUCCCUUAUGUGUGUGUCACUGUUGGUUCUUGAUCUCUCCACACCAACGGUGCCGUUGUGCGGCUCCUGGGCUCUUUCAGGCUCUCCGUCUUGCGGGCGUUGAGUGUGUGGAGGCUCUGCGAAGGGACCAAAGGCAGAGAUCAAAACUCAGCAUCGCUGCUCUUCUCGUGCGUGCUUGCUCUCCUUUCAUAGAUCACUUGCGC
rnacentral:misc_RNA from 1 species